rnacentral:rRNA from 1 species
GCUGUAAUACGGAGGGUGCAAGCGUUAUCCGGGAAUUUAUUGGGGUUUAAAGGGUCCGUAGGCGGGAUUUGUAAGUCAGUGGGUGAAAUCUCACAGCUUAACUGUGAAACUGCCAUUGAUACUGCAAGUCUUGAGUGUUGUUGAAGUAGCUGGAAUAAGUAGUGUAGCGGUGAAAUGCAUAGAUAUUACUUAGAACACCAAUUGCGAAGGCAGGUUACUAAGCAACAACUGACGCUGAUGGACGAAAGCGUGGGGAGCGAACAGGAUUAGAUACCCUGGUAGUCCACGCCGUAAACGAUGCUAACUCGUUUUUGGGAUUUAAAUUUCAGAGACUAAGCGAAAGUGAUAAGUUAGCCACCUGGGGAGUACGAACGCAAGUUUGAAACUCAAAGGAAUUGACGGGGGCCCGCACAAGCGGUGGAUUAUGUGGUUUAAUUCGAUGAUACGCGAGGAACCUUACCAAGGCUUAAAUGGGAAAUGACAGGUUUAGAAAUAGACUUUUCUUCGGACAUUUUUCAAGGUGCUGCAUGGUUGUCGUCAGCUCGUGCCGUGAGGUGUUAGGUUAAGUCCUGCAACGAGCGCAACCCCUGUCACUAGUUGCCAUCAUUAAGUUGGGGACUCUAGUGAGACUGCCUACGCAAGUAGAGAGGAAGGUGGGGAUGACGUCAAAUCAUCACGGCCCUUACGCCUUGGGCCACACACGUAAUACAAUGGCCGGUACAGAGGGCAGCUACACUGCGAAGUGAUGCAAAUCUCGAAAGCCGGUCUCAGUUCGGAUUGGAGUCAUGCAACUCAGUACUCUAUGAAGCUGGAAUCGACUAGUAAUCGCGCAUCAGCCAUGGCGCGGUG